AACACUCAUGGACCAAGUUACUCGCAAUUCAAGAUUGGAUCACCAUGUAAUAAGGAUCCAGAGGAGCGUCCCAUGGACUCAGCUCUUUGCACACAUUCAUUGCAUCCUCCUGGGUAUCUUCAGUCAGCACCCUCAUUACUCCAUUUUACAGAACAAAGGACUGAGUUCAGUGACAUCAAGGAACUUUGCUCAUGCUCACCAAGCUGGUCAGUUGUGGGGUAAGUUUGGACCCUCCACCGCCUGUUUUCUCCACACACUAAACCAUGCCAAUAAAGAAAGCUCCAGAACUAACCCUAAGGAUAAAAUCUGGGCCUCAAGUGAAGCUGUGCUGAGAAAGGAGGGAGCCCAGAAGCCCCCUGCUUCCCUGCUGAAGCACCAGGCACAGCUACACUGGGACUAGGCCGGAACCACUUGUGGUUGUCCUCACUCCCUGCUGGCUGCAUGCAAGGGCUGCAAUUCUAAUAUUUUUCAUUGGCAGGCACUGCAGACAGAUACACAACUGACGUCACUGGCGACUUUCUCUCAGAAGGGCAUGGCCUGGAUGUACCUACUUCUCACUGACUGUCCUGGGCUGGAAGUCCUGCCACAGAGGCCAGAUCCCAUGGUAUGUUACUGCAUCUGGCUUUCAAGAGUCCCCUAUAAAAAGGCAUACAUGAAAAGGGCAAUUGAGGUCAGAUAUGUGAGAAGGAGCUGCAGGGCAGAGGGAAAUGGGGAAGGUCCUUUUACUUUCCCGGCAACUCUACCCUGUGGCCAGGUGACCCCUGUGUCUGCCCUUUGCUUGUGCACAUCAGAUUGCUGGGCCCAGCGUCAUGGAUACGCCCUUGGAGGAGAAGAUGGUUUAUGGGCCCAAUGAGCAGUGUGGAGGCAGCUCUGGCCUACAGCAGCCUCCUCAUAGGUCUCCAGUGAGGACUAGCCACCGCUUCCCUCAGCUCGCCUAGCAGUUCCAGCUCCUGCUCCCAGCUCCUUAAACAUGUACCGCCCUCGAUGAGCCUUCAGCUGCCAUGACCUCCUUCUUAGAAAGCAGCAAGAGAAUUAAAAACAAUAA
rnacentral:lncRNA from 1 species